UACGUAGGGACCAAGCGUUGUUCGGAUUUACUGGGCGUAAAGGGCGCGUAGGCGGCGUGUUAAGUCACUUGUGAAAUCUCUGAGCUUAACUCAGAACGGUCAAGUGAUACUGAUGUGCUAGAGUGCAGAAGGGGCAACCGGAAUUCUUGGUGUAGCGGUGAAAUGCGUAGAUAUCAAGAGGAACACCUGAGGUGAAGACGGGUUGCUGGUCCGGUUCUGACGCUGAGGCGCGAAAGCGUGGGGAGCAAACAGG
rnacentral:rRNA from 1 species